AUUGAACGCUGGCGGCAUGCUUUACACAUGCAAGUCGAACGGUAACAGGCCGCAAGGUGCUGACGAGUGGCGAACGGGUGAGUAAUGCAUCGGAACGUGCCCAGUCGUGGGGGAUAACGCAGCGAAAGCUGUGCUAAUACCGCAUACGAUCUAUGGAUGAAAGCGGGGGACCGUAAGGCCUCGCGCGAUUGGAGCGGCCGAUGACAGAUUAGGUAGUUGGUGGGGUAAAGGCCCACCAAGCCAACGAUCUGUAGCUGGUCUGAGAGGACGACCAGCCACACUGGGAAUGAGACACGGCCCAGACUCCUACGGGAGGCAGCAGUGGGGAAUUUUGGACAAUGGGCGCAAGCCUGAUCCAGCAAUGCCGCGUGCAGGAAGAAGGCCUUCGGGUUGUAAACUGCUUUUGUACGGAACGAAAAGGUCUGGGUUAAUACCCUGGGCCGAUGACGGUACCGUAAGAAUAAGCACCGGCUAACUACGUGCCAGCCGCCGCCGUAA
rnacentral:rRNA from 1 species